GACGAACGCUGGCGGCGUGCCUAAUACAUGCAAGUCGAGCGGACUGAUUAAGAGCUUGCUCUUAUGACGUUAGCGGCGGACGGGUGAGUAACACGUGGGCAACCUGCCCUGUAGAUCGGGAUAACACCGAGAAAUCGGUGCUAAUACCGGGUAAUAUCUGAGAUCACAUGAUCUUAGGUUAAAAGAUGGCUCCGGCUAUCACUACAGGAUGGGCCCGCGGCGCAUUAGCUAGUUGGUAAGGUAAUGGCUUACCAAGGCGACGAUGCGUAGCCGACCUGAGAGUGUGAUCGGCCACACUGGGACUGAGACACGGCCCAGACGCCUACGGGAGGCAGCAGUAGGGAAUCUUCCGCAAUGGACGAAAGUCUGACGGAGCAACGCCGCGUGAGUGAUGAAGGGGUUCGGCUCGUAAAGCUCUGUUGUUAGGGAAGAAACAGUACCGAACGAACUAGGUCGGUACCUUGACGGUACCUAACCAGAAAGCCACGGCUAACUACGUG
rnacentral:rRNA from 1 species